ACUCCCCGUAAGGCGGUCCGUGUCAAACCCCGCCCCGGUUUCCUAGGUAACGCGGCCUUCUACGCCUCCGGCUGCUGAGCUGGCUGAAGUGUGCGGCGCUGUGACCCGGGAAGGGCGGUGGCUAUCCGCGGCUGUGGCCGUUUUCCUUCGAUCAGGUUCAGAAAGCCGAGAAGGAGCAUUGUGCUGGAUUACUGCUGAUUGCCGGCGGCGCGGAGGAGCCCGGAAACUGUCCGACCAGCUUGGGCCUCUGGCAGAGAAAACAAGGUUCUGGCGGGCGCCGGAGCGAGGCCCAGAGCUGUGUCUGGAUCUUGGAUGACUACGACCGAGGCCGAGCAGAUGUGGGCGGGUCUCCAGCCUCUGAAGUCCCAGGCACCCUGAUACCUUGGUUCUGGAACCUCUUGGGAGUCAGCCUAGUGAUUGCCCUUCCAAGAGCAUGACCCUGCGUUUGCUGGGCUAUGUGCCUUCUGCCGACUGUAGCGUAGAUGCUUUCCUUUCAGAUUUUCACAUCAAGCUUGAGCCGUUUUAUUGAGUAGGAAAUUAAGGCUCAAGGAAGUUGGGUGUACUGGCCAAGAUGGCCCAUUCACCAACGUUACGUUCUACAAUCGUGACCUGUAAUCAGCUCUUAACUGGGCUAUGGUGGCAUGUCCAUGUCAUCAAAGCACUUGAGAGGCCAAGGGGACAGGAAUUCAAUGCCAGUUUGAAGAAGACUCUCUCUCUCUCUCUCUCUCUCUCUCUCUCUCUCUCUCUCUCUCUCUCUCUCUCUCCCUCCCUCCUUCCCUCCCUCCCUCCCUCUCUCUCUCUCUUUCUCUCUCAAGUUCGUGUACUGAACUUGCACUAUGUGAAAACUUAUACUGGGUACUUCCUUAAGUUAAUAAAACUCUGGACUUGG